GGGCGUCCGGGGAGUGCCUCAGCAGGAGGCAGCAGUGAUCAGCAGGAAGGCAAAGUAAGAAAAGAGGGACUCGACUCGGGGGCAAAGGCCAGACUUUUAAUGUCUCCAGGGGAAGCCAGCCCAGUCAAGACCACGAGAAAAAGGUGAAAGCUUAUCUUUCAUUGAGAAAGUGUGUUUGGAGCCAGGGCACGUCUUCUGCAGAACUAUCGCUUUCCAGAUCACCUCGGAAUGAGAAGCAGAGAUUGUGAGAAUUGAGUUGGCAGUAAAGCAACGUCAACAGUUUUGGUAGUGGCAUAAGGGUAAGGGUCCUGUUAGACAAGUCUGCUAAAUAAAAGGUUGUGAAUUGAUCCCUGCUGUUGAUCAAGCAGCUUUAUACCAUAUUGUUCAGGGCCAGUUUUAAUAUUUUUUUGGAAAUAAGCCACUUCAUAUGUUCCAAAACAGGGUCAGAGAGAAGGCUAAAAAUUAAAUAGGAUAAACAACUUGGUUUUUUGCUUAGAAUAUUUUGCUUUAUUUUCUUUUCCUACUUUUUUAGACAUAAAGAGUUUUAAAGGCAUUCAUUUGCAACAGAAGUGUGCUGAUGGUGCCAGUAUUUUUUACGAGAAAAAAACAAACCACAAAAUAACCUACCUCCAAACAAAAACCAAACAGAAUAGGAAGUGCACACUGAAAUAAGAUUCCUUAUUGUCAUGGUAACCUCCAGUGGGUUAAACUCUCAGAGGAGGUUGUGUGGCACCUGAGGAUGAGGGCAGAAAACACGCUGUAUGAGAAAGCUGCAAGGUCCUCUAAAGGAUAAAGCCUUUUUUUUUUUUUAAAUUGUGCAAUUAAAUAGCUCUCUCCUCUAAGUAUUAUCUUACUAAGUAAAAGCACACUCUUCGUUUUCAUAAGUUUUUAAGAACUUUUUCUGUAUUACAUGCCUGUAAGCCUAUAUAUACACAAGUAGAGGUCCACCUAGUAGCAAUGUAAAGAUAUAUGCUUAUCUUAUUGAGAAAUGUUAACAUUUCCUGAAGAAAACUAGCCACAAAAAGCCAUUGAACACCACAUGCCAUAAAUAAAGGCAGAUACUCUUUAAAGUUUUAACAUGACUUGACAAUUUUCAAAUGUUAUUAAGAGAGUCAGGGGCAACUGAGCAGAUGACAUUGUAUAUUUUCAUCACCACAAAAAUAAAACAAGAAAAUAAGUAUCUGGACAGAUAAAUUGACAAAGGAUGGACUUAUAAAUAGACUCUAUAUCAAAGAGUAUAUUAUUUAUAUUGAGCCUAACUUAUUCAUAACAAAUUAGACUGAGACAGCUCUGGCACCACAUUAACUUGGAAAGAAUGUGAAGUCUACCACUCGUGAUAUUUGAUGUUGUAUACAAGAAACAGCAUCUUACAUUCGGUAAAGUUAAAGAAUCCAAUACUUUGUAGAGAAAUACUAAUGAAGUAAAAGAGUGACUAGAAAAACUAGAAAAGAAGGUUCCUAAGAUAAUAUUAUCAAGGAACAAGAAUAAGAGAAAGAACAAGUCCCAGACAGCAUUGGGCUACAGUGGUAUGGAGGAGUUUAUGAACACUUGUCUAGUUUAUUUUCAUGCACUAUACUUUAAAUUGAAAUAUUUUGAUUUAACCAAUACAGAAGUCAAAAUAUAAGUGAGAGAGAAUGUUAUUCUAACAGUUCUCUAAAGUGGUACUGGUAAAUUGGGAUAUCCAUUCAACUUCACUUUUGAUAUUAAUUUUAGGAUCAGUUAUGGAGUGGAGGAAAAAAUUUCCUUAAUCAGCUGAUCUGAUUGGCAUGGGGCAGGAUUCUUUGGUAUGGAAAAGGCAUAAAACCUUUUUUAAGUGGAAGACUUCAGUUCUAAUAAUGAUUUGCUAAUUUUUAUCUGAUACAUUUAUACUUUUUAUGAGUUGUAAUUAAGAGUUUAGCUGGUUUGAAUUUUACUUUAAUUAUUGUCAUCUAAUGAAAUUAUAUUUUGAAAUCAAUAUUGAUCCUAAAUUCUCCUCAAUCCUGAAUUUAUUAAAGUCAAGCUUAACAAAACAUUGAAAAAAUGUCUCCAGCUUUAAACAUUCUUGUCAUUCCACUUAAAUAUUUUUCCAAUGACAACAUUAAGUAGUUUAAUUCUAAUUGAUCUGCACAAACUUAUCACAAACAAUAACAGAAGGCAAUGAAAAUGAACAAAACUGGUUUCCCUGCUUGUUCUUAAAAAUUUAGGCCUUGUAUCAAUCUUUUGAAAUCACUUUGUGGUUUAUGUAGGGUGCCAGAUUUAAUACAGACUUUUGUCCGUGGCACUAACACAAUAUCUAUAUUCUAUAAAUAUUUGUAAAGAGAACUUUGCAUAAAAAGUUAUUUGGUUCUGCAAGCUAAAUUGAUAAUUAAAGAUAUUGUUUGCAAGGAGCUAAUUUUCCAACAUUUUAGGAAGAUGCUUAUCCUCCUAGACUGUUUUCUGUCUGCUGUAUGGUAUUUCCAGCAGAUAUCUAGUAAGUUGAAGUCACCUAUAAGAAGAAGGGCUAGUGAUUGUGGGGCUACUCCCAGUUGCUAAUAGAAUAUAUCUUGUCCCUAAUUUAUGUAGAAAAUUACCAACAUUAUGACAUAAAAUAGGAGGAAAUAAAAGCAUGAAUUUUCUUCUUACUUCACAGCUUUUUCUUGUAUCAGCAUCAAGCAGAUACCUAUUUUUGACAAUUGUCUACCCUAUUAGUACAUGGGAAUUCAAAGUGUUGUUGUAAAAAGGAGAAAAUAAAAUAAUUAACUACAAAUAAAUCUACAUCACUGCCUACCUGGUAUCAAAUACAGUUUAAAAGAUAAGUACUGGGUUAGAGUGGCAAGGUUUUGGGUGAUCACCUGAGAAGCUCUUUGUAAAUUAUGGUGUGGGAGCGACUCACAUUGGAAAAGUUCAUGGAGGACUGUCUCCUGUGGGAGUGAACCCGCGCUGGAACAGAGAAAAUAGUCCCCACACAGAGGAGGAAGCAGCAGCAGAGCAGAAUAAACAAUGGGUGAUGAGCUGACCAAAACCCUCAUUUCCCAUCCCCCCUGCUCUGCUGGGAGUGAGGACAUAGAGAAGUGGGAAUAAAGCUAAGGUCAGGAGGAAGGGAGUUGAGGGGGUAAUGUGUUCUAAAGACUUGAUUUAAUUUCUCAUUUUAAUACUCUGAUUUGAUUGCUAAUCAAUUUAAUUAAUUUUCCCCAGUCUGUUAUCCCUAUGACAGCAUGAGGGAUGAUGAGUGACCUCUUCCUGUCUUUAUCUUGAUUCAUCAGCCUUUUUUAAUGUUAUCUCUGUCUGAUUGAGGAUGGGGAGUGAUAGAAAGACUUUGCUGGGCACAUGGCAUCAGCCACAGUUAUACCACCACAUUCUAACCCAUGACAGCAUACUGAUUAUGUGCAUGUGACAGGAAUUGACUAAAGUGUUAAUUUUUAAUGAGCAUUUGGAUAUUCAUAGCAACAAAAUUAAAAUUUCCUGAAAUUAUUUAUUUUAUUAUAUGCAUUUUAGAAGUUAUAUUAAAUUAAGAAAAGGUAUUGGUAAUUGGGAAGUACGAUAGGUGUUUUCUCAAGAUUAAAUUCAAAUCAGAAUCAGUGAAUGGGCUAGUUCUUUCCUUACCCUCCCAUAAUAUUUCAAACACCCAUAUAAUUUUGCAAACAUUUAAGUGGGAAGUGCAGAAUUUUAUAGUGUCUCCUUUCAUUAUCUGUGAUGAAAGUAACUUCUAUAAAGAGGUCAUCACUUUCCACUGUCCCUUUACUCCACUUGCAGUCCUUGAAUUGAAUUUUUUUUUUUUCAUAUGUGAAGUCUGGAAUAAUAUCAAUUUAAAAGUAUCUUCUGAUCAUGUUCCAGGAAUGAAUAAAGCAUCAAGUCAUAGUUAAAAGAUAGUGAGGAAAUUGGAUAAAAAUGGAUGACCAUUUUAAUAAUAGAAAUUCAGAUUCCUUUUUUGUAAUUCACAGUAGAAUGCAACCUGAUGGUCUUUCUUUGGCAACUUAAACUACAAUAUGGCAACAUAGUAAUAUAAAAAUAUAUUAAUAUGACAAAUACAAAUGAAAAUAUGAAAGUAAUGGUAUUUUAUGAGAUUUCAGAUAUUUGGGAAUUUGUGAUAGUUAUGACGAAAAAUUGAAGGAAACUGCUCAGGAAUCUUUAAUCAAGUAAUAAAUGCAGUUUUUAGAAUUCAAACCUAAUUUGCCUCUAUUCACAUAUACACACAUACAUGAAUGUAACUGUAUCAAAGUCAAGAUUAGAAUUGAGUGCCUUUUGUUUUUAAUUGCUGAACUAGUGAUUCAAUUAGGAUAACUUCACAGAAGAUAGAGAAUUCAUGUUAAGGAGCUGUCAAUUUCCAGUGAAAUUCAGAACACAGGGGUUUUUUUUUUAUUUCUAGUCUAUUUACAUCAAAUCCAGUCCACCCUAGCACCCUUCCUAGAGGAGGAAGUGACUGUUGAUGUGUCCUUUUCCAAGUCUGACAAGCAGCAAAUUGGAGCCCACACUGCAUAGGCAGAUACUCAAACACAUGUGUAUGCACACACACAGAAAACAUCAGCUUGGUCCAUCACAGAACACUGAGUUAAUAGCACCCAAAUAAACACCAAUUGCUCUCACAUAAAUAUGAACUCAGCAGCACAGGCCUGUUCCUCUUUCCAGGUGAUCAGGACUAAGGGUCACUGGUGGAUGCACAGGUCCUGUCACCACAAUCUAAAUUUAGCAGCCAAUGACAGACAAAGAUUCAUUAACUAUUUGGAUGACAUUAUUUAAGUCUACUUAAUGUCCAUGUCCAAAUCCCAGAUCAUUUAUAAAGUCAUUGGAUCAAGGGCUGGGUUUUUUUCAGGGUAUCCUGUUCAUUGUCUGGUCAUUUGUUAGCAAAUUACACAUAUAUACAGCAGCUGGCUGUAUCAGUCAGUAUUUCCAGUUGCCAACACCUAAAUCUUUCUUCACACGUGUAUAUUAUGACUGAAAUUACACAAAGCCCCAGUCUGCAACAUGAUUUAAUAAAAAGAUAGGACAGAUUGCAGUGAUCAGGGGCAGGGUUCAAACACAAAAAUAUGCUUGCUUACAGUUCACCAGCUAUUUUUACUCCCUAUUCUCUCUGUUUUCCCAUGCUUGUUCUUUGCCCAUAUGCCUUGAUCCUUUCCGUUUCUGACCCUUGCUACCUCUCAAUAAACAAUGUGUCAAAACCUAAAUUUUUUUCACUUGCCUCAAUUUUUCUAUAUUUAUUUUCUAAAUCCAUACCCAGAUUUGGUAUUUCCAAUACUGUUACCAAGGCAAUUUCAGUCUUCCAUCAUCUCAUCACAAUGGGAAUACAUGAGAUUGUCCUCCCCAAAAGCUGUGUGCCUCCCUGUAUUGGGUCUGGCUGGGAUGGAGUUCACGUUGCCUUAGCAGCCCUCACAGUGCUGUGCUGUGCAUCGGAAGCACCCCAGUGCUUUGGCUACUGCUGAGCAGGGCUGACACAGCAUCAGCUCUGUUUCCUCACCAUUCCUCACCACCAAGGGGCUGGGGACAAAACCAGGCCAGCUGACCCAAAUUGGCCAAAGGGAUUUUCCAUACCCUAUGAUGUCAUCUCAGAUAUAAAAGCCAAGUGGACAAUGAGAGGGGGGGAACUCGUUAUUUGCAGUGUUUGCUUUCCUGAACAAACACUCCACAUUCUGAAACUCUGCUUCCUGGGAAGUGGCUGAAUGUUCCUUGCUGAUGGAAGCAGAGAUUUUUUUUCCUAUUUGUGCAGGCACAAACUUUCACUUUUACUUUGGUAAACAGCUCUAUCAAAACCUACAAACCAUUUUCCAUAUUAUUUUUUCUCCCCUGUCCAGCUGGGAAGGGGGAGUGAUAGAGCUGAAUUUCCAUUCUGAAUGUUUCACAAAGACAGAAUUUACAGCUCAUUUAGAAGCUUCUUGAUAUAUUUGUGCAAUAUGCCCUGUACUUGGAUUUUUUCUCUCUAAAAUCAUAUUCUUAAAGAAGAAUAUUGCAAUUAAAAUAUAGUUAUAUUGCAAUUUCAGUCAGGUUACCUGGUGAUUUUCAGUAAUCAUUCAUUAGUAAUUAGGGUUUUUUUUCUGCUCCAUAGUUUAUUAAUACAGCAAGGGAGUUAGAAUCAAUUGUGCUAAUCGUCCUUAGCCAAACAUUAUACAACCAGUCAAAGGAAAUCACAGAAGCUUCACUUGAGGAUCCACUGCUGGCCAGAGACAAUCAAUGGUUUUGUAAGUUCUUCUGUCAGAACAUAUUUAAGAAAGGCUAAAAAACACUGUGGAGCAGCUGUGUGAGAGAGAGAAAUGUGAGAGGAGCAGCUCAGCAGACACCAAGAUCAGUGAAGAAGGAGGUGGAGGAGCUGUUCUGGGUAUGAAAGCAGAGAUUACCUAAAGUCUGUGGAGAAGACAAUGGCAAUGCAGGUUGUGCCCCUGGCGCAGCUGGAGGACCACAGUGGAGCACCAAUCCAUCCUGCUGCCCACCGAGGAUCCCACAUCAGAGCAGGAUCCUGGCAGGACCUGCAGCUUGUGGAAAGAAGCACAUGCUGGAGUCAGUUUUCUGGACAGAACUGUGGCUCUGCACUGUGAGCCACCCACACUGGGGAAGUCUGCUCCUGAAGGACUGCAAUCUCUGUCAAGGAUGCUGUGCUGGAGCGUGACAAGACUGGGAGAAGAAAGGAGAGGCAGAGA